rnacentral:lncRNA from 1 species
UGUGCUUAUGUUUUCAUCGAUGAGCAACAUAUCAACGCUCAUAAGCUCCCCGCCUUUGUUGAUGUUUCUCGCAAACCGCAACAGACGGACCUCCGCCGUGUUAGAGCAUCGCCCGGCUCUCAGGUCGACAAGUAACGUGUACGUAGACGCCAUCGGAAUUGAAUUGCGUGUAUGGAUCGGGCGUUACAGAACUCAGAUCGACGGUUUGGUUUUCUCAGUAACAUCGGCGAGGUCGCUUCUGGAAGAAGAAGUCGACGACCACCAAACCUAAGCACGAGUUUCUAACGGGCCAAAUGCUGGGUUAGACCAAUUUAAUUAACUAAAAGCCCAGCUACCUAUAAAACCUAAAACUCAGACGGAACAGAAGAAAAAAAAAACGCGGGGCAUUGGUUGAGCGACACGUGGCGACAAAUGCCCACCUCUAAAGAAGGACGUGGCUGCAGGAGGUGAGAGAAAACUCCCCUUUAUUAUUAAUAUUGUUAGAGGCUUAGUAUAAGACAAUUGUGCUUACGUUUUCAUCGAUGAGCAACAUAUCAACGCUCAUAAGCUCCCCGCCUUUGUUGAUGUUUCUCGCAAACCGCAACAGACGGACCUCCGCCGUGUUAGAGCAUCGCCCGGCUCUCAGGUCGACAAGUAACGUGUACGUAGACGCCAUCGGAAUUGAAUUGCGUGUAUGGAUCGGGCGUUACAGAACUCAGAUCGACGGUUUGGUUUUCUCAGUAACAUCGGCGAGGUCGCUUCUGGAAGAAGAAGUCGACGACCACCAAACCUAAGCACGAGUUUCUAACGGGCCAAAUGCUGGGUUAGACCAAUUUAAUUAACUAAAAGCCCAGCUACCUAUAAAACCUAAAACUCAGACGGAACAGAAGAAAAAAAAAACGCGGGGCAUUGGUUGAGCGACACGUGGCG